rnacentral:rRNA from 1 species
CUCCGAGCUUGCUCGGAGUAGUAAACCGGCGAACGGGUGAGUAACACGUAGGUAACCUGCCUUUGGGAUGGGGAUAACCUUGCUAACGCGGGGCUAAUACCGAAUAAUGCAGCGGAUCCGCAUGGAUAUGUUGUUAAAGUGGUCUCGAUUUAUCGAGAUUACGCCUAAAGAUGGACCUGCGUCCCAUUAGCUUGUUGGUGAGGUAACGGCUCACCAAGGCUGCGAUGGGUAGCCGGCCUGAGAGGGUGAACGGCCACACUGGGACUGAGAUACGGCCCAGACUCCUACGGGAGGCAGCAGUGAGGAAUAUUGGGCAAUGGCCGAAAGGCUGACCCAGCAACGCCGCGUGAGGGAUGAAGCUCUAAGGAGUGUAAACCUCUUUCGGGAGGGAAGAAUUUUCCUGCGACGAAUAAUUGCAGGAGUUGACGGUACCUCCUAAAGAAGCCCCGGCUAACUCCGUGCCAGCAGCCGCGGUAAUACGGGGGGGGCGAGCGUUGUCCGGAAUUAUUGGGCGUAAAGGGCGCGUAGGCGGAAUAGUAAGUCAGAGGUGAAAAUCCAGAGCUUAACUCAGGACCUGCCUUUGAUACUGCUAUUCUUGAGUGCGAGAGAGGAAAGUGGAAUUCCCGGUGUAGCGGUGAAAUGCGUAGAUAUCGGGAAGAACACCGGUAGCGAAGGCGGCUU